CCUACGGGAGGCAGCAGUGGGGAAUAUUGGACAAUGGGCGAAAGCCUGAUCCAGCCAUGCCGCGUGUGUGAAGAAGGUCUUCGGAUUGUAAAGCACUUUAAGUUGGGAGGAAGGGCAUUAACCUAAUACGUUAGUGUUUUGACGUUACCGACAGAAUAAGCACCGGCUAACUCUGUGCCAGCAGCCGCGGUAAUACAGAGGGUGCAAGCGUUAAUCGGAAUUACUGGGCGUAAAGCGCGCGUAGGUGGUUUGUUAAGUUGGAUGUGAAAUCCCCGGGCUCAACCUGGGAACUGCAUUCAAAACUGACUGACUAGAGUAUGGUAGAGGGUGGUGGAAUUUCCUGUGUAGCGGUGAAAUGCGUAGAUAUAGGAAGGAACACCAGUGGCGAAGGCGACCACCUGGACUAAUACUGACACUGAGGUGCAAAAGCGUGGGGAGCAAACAGGAUUAGAUACCCUGGUAGUCCACGCCGUAAACGAUGUCAACUAGCCGUUGGGAGCCUUGAGCUCUUAGUGGCGCAGCUAACGCAUUAAGUUGACCGCCUGGGGAGUACGGCCGNAAGUUAACNCGAAAGAUGACGNUGAGACGNGCGAGACGACGACGAGGGAGGAGG
rnacentral:rRNA from 1 species